ACGAAGGGGGCUAGCGUUGUUCGGAAUUACUGGGCGUAAAGCGCGUGUAGGCGGCUCUCUAAGUCUGAUGUGAAAGCCCGGGGCUCACCCCCGGAAGUGCAUUGGAAACUGGAGAGCUCGAGUCCCGGAGAGGAGGGUGGAAUUCCUGGUGUAGCGGUGAAAUGCGUAGAUAUCAGGAGGAACACCGGCGGCGAAGGCGGCCCUCUGGACGGUGACUGACGCUAAGACGCGAAAGCGUGGGGAGCAAACAGGA
rnacentral:rRNA from 1 species